rnacentral:rRNA from 1 species
CACGUAGGGCGCAAGCGUUGUCCGGAAUUAUUGGGCGUAAAGAGCGUGUAGGCGGCUCGGUAAGUCCGCUGUGAAAGUCCAGGGCUCAACCCUGGAAUGCCGGUGGAAACUGUCGAGCUAGAGUCCGGAAGAGGCGAGUGGAAUUCCUGGUGUAGCGGUGAAAUGCGCAGAUAUCAGGAGGAACACCAAUGGCGAAGGCAGCUCGCUGGGACGGUACUGACGCUGAGACGCGAAAGCGUGGGGAGCAAACAGGA